CAUUGAGACACCGGUUCUCGUCCGAUCGUCGAAGUUAAGCAAAGUCAAACUCUGUUUGUACGUAGAUGGGUGACCCCUUGGCAAUACCAGGUACAGUAA